rnacentral:sRNA from 1 species
GCGGGGGAGUUGCUGAAGACAGCGAGAGGACAUAGGGAGGGAAGAGAAGAUAACUCAAGUGAACCAUGAAAGACAAAAAUUUGAUACAUUCUGAAACCAGGACUAAAAGAUACGUUUCAAAUUGUUUCUGUGUGUGUGGGUGUGAACGUAUGUGUGUGUGUGUGUGUGUGUUGGAGGUGCCUCUAACAAGCUGUGACCCGCUUACAUUCUAUUCAUUUCUAAAAAGGGCCUCAAAUUUCUGAAGUGUUGCUACUUGAAGGAGAAGCCCUGAAGAUGAGAGAGGCCACGUUCCAGUUCUAGUGAGACUGUAAGACAAGAGGGGGAACUACACGACCAGCGUAGUGUGAAGUCAUGGGAUACAUGGAGGGAUUCAAGGGCAUGUUCUAUCUAUCUAUCUAUCUAUCUCUAUCGACAUACAUAGUUCUAUCAAAUACACAACUAAAACAAGUUUAAAUUUAAUUUUGCUUUGAGGAACAUCGCACCAUUGUUUUGAUGUGUUCAAUCUUUCAAUGGGCCUCAUUCAGCGAAACGUUCGGUCACGUGACGGUGACACCCAUCAACGAUUGUGUAUAGAAUAGUAUAGAUUAGUACUGGAAAGAUGGGGAAGCAAUGCGUUGCAUUUGACUGUAAUAAUUAUGAACAUAAAAAAGAAUGGAAAAAAAAAAAAGGUUUUCAUCGUUUUCCUGUGAACAAUCCAAAGCUAUGUAAAGCUAUGAAAGAAUGAAUGGGUUGUCAAACUGAAACGAAAAAACUUCACUGCAAGUGCACACUCUGUAAUAUGUUUAGAGCAUUUUGAGGAGGACUGUUUUAUUUACCAGCCUUUUACAAAUCGCAGACUUCUAAAGCCUGGUGCCGACCAAGUUUUCUUUGUCCAAAAGUACACCAAGCCGAAAAAAGACCAAAUAUGAAUUUAGACAACCUCUUUUACCCCAGGACACUACCAUUGAGGAGAAGACUAGAGAUGUCACUGUGCAAACU